rnacentral:rRNA from 1 species
UACGAAGGGGGCUAGCGUUGCUCGGAAUCACUGGGCGUAAAGCGCACGUAGGCGGAUUUCUAAGUCAGGGGUGAAAUCCUGGAGCUCAACUCCAGAACUGCCUUUGAUACUGGGAAUCUCGAGUCCGGGAGAGGUGAGUGGAACUGCGAGUGUAGAGGUGAAAUUCGUAGAUAUUCGGAAGAACACCAGUGGCGAAGGCGGCUCACUGGCCCGGUACUGACGCUGAGGUGCGAAAGCGUGGGGAGCAAACAGG